rnacentral:tRNA from 1 species
GUCCGCGUAGCUCAGCGGAACGAGCGCUCCGCUCACACCGGAGAGGACCCGGGUUCGAUCCCCGGCGCGGGUA